rnacentral:rRNA from 1 species
UUGUAUGAUGGAUCCACGAAAGCUAAGCUGUCUCCCCAGUAAAAAUAAAAAUUGGCCCUUAGGUGAAAAGACCUAAAUAAAAUCAUAGGACAAGAAGACCCCGUAGAGCUCCGUAUUUUUAUAGGUAUAAUCAUAAAUAAUUUAUCCUAUCUUUAUACUAAAUAAAAUACUUAGCUGGGGCGGCUAAGGAAAACACAAUCUUCCAUUUAAAUCGCCUGCUUUAAUUAGAGCAUUUAGGUUAUAAACCAAAAUUUAAAUUGACCCUUUUAAGACCAGAAGAAAUAGUUACCUCGGGGAUAACAGAUUUAUCCUUCUUGAGAGUUCGCAUUGACAGAAGGGU